ACAAAGAAGGGUGAGACAUCUUCACAGAAUAGCUUAUCCCUUCUUAAGACCAGUUAUGAAGACUACUAGGAAGAAUUACCCACUCGAGUGGAACAGCAAGAUGGGAGAAACCAAACAAGUAGAUUGAUUAUGAUUAUGAUUAUGAUUAUGAUUAACUGAGCUCUAAAAUAUUUGAGUGAAGAAGUAAGAGGUAGAAAUGCUACAAGGAGUACAUUUUUCAGAACAUUCUAUGGCUGGACUGUCUUUUGAAAACCCUCACUGAAGUCAAUAGGAACUGAACGCACAUAUCAGAAGUCAAACUUCGUGUCUUUAUGAUUUUUAGAGCAUUUAAAAAAGCCUCUGGAGGAACACUCUUAUGAAAUAAAUUCUGAGGAUGCAAUUCUAAUCUUUCUGGAUUUGGAGACUGAUGCUGAAGAACUAAUAAUUACAAUUGGUGAAGGAAAAGCUCAUUUUCUCUGCAAGAGACCACAGGAAACUUUAGACACUACCAGAUAGUGCGAAGUGCAAACUUACUACACAGAAUAAGACUUGAACAUUUCUUAAAACACAUUGAUGAAAAGUCUAAAUUUACUAUGCCCCAAUAUUGGCAUAGGUCUCCCUUCCCAUGAGAGGAAACUCUAAAAUCUUAAGUGUGUUGCUAUUCAUCUAUUUACCUUACAGCAAAA
ensembl:lncRNA